rnacentral:rRNA from 1 species
AUUGAACGCUGGCGGCAUGCCUUACACAUGCAAGUCGAACGGCAGCGGACCUUCGGGUGCCGGCGAGUGGCGAACGGGUGAGUAAUAUAUCGGAACGUACCUUUCAGUGGGGGAUAACGUAGCGAAAGUUACGCUAAUACCGCAUAUUCUGUGAACAGGAAAGCAGGGGAUCGCAAGACCUUGCGCUGAUUGAGCGGCCGAUAUCAGAUUAGCUUGUUGGUGAGGUAAAGGCUCACCAAGGCGACGAUCUGUAGCGGGUCUGAGAGGAUGAUCCGCCACACUGGAACUGAGACACGGUCCAGACUCCUGCGGGAGGCAGCAGUGGGGAAUUUUGGACAAUGGGCGCAAGCCUGAUCCAGCCAUGCCGCGUGAGUGAAGAAGGCCUCGGUUGUAAG